rnacentral:tmRNA from 1 species
CGUCUUGAAUCGUCUUGAAAUAAAACGGGCGUGCCCCCAUAAUCUCGCGCAUGGUUGUAAUUCCGGCAAGCCGGAGGCGUUCUGGACAGGGGUUCGACUCCCCUCAUCUCCACCCAAGCGCAUGCGGGGUGCGUGUUCUUCGGUGGGGAUGUACCGGUUUCGACAGGG